rnacentral:rRNA from 1 species
GCAAGUCGAACGAUAACUCGAAGCUUGCUUCGAGGGACAGUGGCAAACGGGUGAGUAACACGUGGGUAACCUGCCUUCGGAUGGGGGAUAGCUCUAGGAAACUAGUGGUAAUACCGCAUAAUGUCCAACCAUCAUAAGACGGAUGGGUUAAAGGCGCUUUCGGGCGUCAUCUGAAGAUGGGCCCGCGCACUAUUGGCUAGUUGGUAGGGUAACGGCCUACCAAGGCAACGAUGGUUAGCCGGCCUGAGAGGGUGUACGGCCACAUUGGGACUGAGAUACGGCCCAGACUCCUACGGGAGGCAGCAGCUAAGAAUAUUCCGCAAUGGGCGCAAGCCUGACGGAGCGACGCCGCGUGGAGGAUGAAGGCUUUCGGGUUGUAAACUCCUUUUCUUAGGGAAGAAUUAAGUUGGCAGGAAAUGGUCGACCGAUGACGGUACCUAAGGAAUAAGCCCCGGCUAAUUACGUGCCAGCAGCCGCGGUAAUACGUAUGGGGCAAGCGUUGUUCGGAUUCACUGGGCGUAAAGGGCGUGUAGGCGGUGUGGUAAGUCGGAUGUGAAAUCUCCAGGCUCAACCUGGAAACUGCAUUCGAAACUGCCAUGCUUGAGUACCGGAGAGGGAAACGGAAUUCCUGGUGUAGGGGUGAAAUCUGUAGAUAUCAGGAAGAACACCGGUGGCGAAGGCGGUUUCCUGGCCGGAUACUGACGCUGAGGCGCGAAAGCUAGGGGAGCAAACAGGAUUAGAUACCCUGGUAGUCCUAGCUGUAAACGUUGUGCACUAGGUGUAAGUGGUUUCAACCCACUUGUGCCGCAGCUAACGCAUUAAGUGCACCGCCGGGGGAGUAUGCUCGCAAGGGUGAAACUCAAAGGAAUUGACGGGGGCCCGCACAAGCGGUGGAGGCAUGUGGUUUAAUUCGAUGAUACGCGAAGAACCUUACCAGGGUUUGACAUGCAGUUGACGGGAGCAGAGAUGUUCCUUUCCUUCGGGACGGCUGCACAGGUGCUGCAUGGCUGUCGUC